rnacentral:rRNA from 1 species
CCUAGGGUGGCAGCAGUGGGGAAUAUUGGACAAUGGGCGAAAGCCUGAUCCAGCCAUGCCGCGUGUGUGAAGAAGGCCUUCGGGUUGUAAAGCACUUUCAGUGGGGAAGAAAGCCUUGGGGCUAAUACCCUCGAGGAAGGACAUCACCCACAGAAGAAGCACCGGCUAACUCCGUGCCAGCAGCCGCGGUAAUACGGAGGGUGCGAGCGUUAAUCGGAAUUACUGGGCGUAAAGCGCGCGUAGGCGGUCUGAUAAGCCGGUUGUGAAAGCCCCGGGCUCAACCUGGGAACGGCAUCCGGAACUGUCAGGCUAGAGUGCAGGAGAGGAAGGUAGAAUUCCCGGUGUAGCGGUGAAAUGCGUAGAGAUCGGGAGGAAUACCAGUGGCGAAGGCGGUCUUCUGGACUGACACUGACGCUGAGGUGCGAAAGCGUGGGUAGCAAACAGGAUUAGAUACCCCUGUAGUC